CCUACGGUGAGCAGCAGUGGGGAAUAUUGGGCAAUGGGCUCAAGCCUGACCCAGCAACGCCGCGUGAAGGAAGAAUGCUUUAGGGUUGUAAACUUCUUUUGUCAAGGAAGAGUAGAAGACGGUACCUGCCUACUAAGUCACGGCUAACUACGUGCAAUCAGCCGCUGUAAUACGUAGGUGGCAAGCGUUGUCCGGAUUUACUGGGUUUAAAGGGCGUGUAGACGGGUUGCCAAGUCAGUUGUGAAAUCCUGCGGCUUAACCGCAGAACUGCAUUUGAAACUGUUGGUCUUGAGUACUGGCGAGGCAGACGGAAUUCCUAGUGUAGCGGUGAAAUGCGUAGAUAUCAGGAGGAACACCAGUGGCGAAGGCGGUCUGCUGGACAGUAACUGACGGUGAGGCGCGAAAGUGUGGGGAGCAAACAGGAUUAGAUACCCAAGUAGUC
rnacentral:rRNA from 1 species